AGCGAACGCUGGCGGCAGGCCUAACACAUGCAAGUCGAACGGACCCUUCGGGGUUAGUGGCGGACGGGUGAGUAACACGUGGGAACGUGCUUUUAGGUUCGGAAUAGCUCCUGGAAACGGGUGGUAAUGCCGAAUGUGCCCUUCGGGGGAAAGAUUUAUCGCCUUUAGAGCGGCCCGCGUCUGAUUAGCUUGUUGGUGGGGUAAUGGCCCACCAAGGCUACGAUCAGUAGCUGGUCUGAGAGGAUGACCAGCCACAUUGGGACUGAGACACGGCCCAAACUCCUACGGGAGGCAGCAGUGGGGAAUCUUGCGCAAUGGGCGAAAGCCUGACGCAGCCAUGCCGCGUGUAUGAUGAAGGUCUUAGGAUUGUAAAAUACUUUCACCGGUGAAGGUAAUGACUGUAGCCGGAGAAGAAGCCCCGGCUAACUUCGUGCCAGCAGCCGCGGUAAUACGAAGGGGGCUAGCGUUGCUCGGAAUUACUGGGCGUAAAGGGAGCGUAGGCGGACAUUUAAGUCAGG
rnacentral:rRNA from 1 species